CCUCCACUAGCAUACCUAAACACCACACUUCAUGCCAUUUCAGUACACAUAUAGGCAAUUACAACAUGCCAAAUUCAUAUACAAAUCAAGCCUUUAUAUCAUAAUCCAACUCAAAACUCAAAACUCAACCUUAAACAUAUCCAAAGCAACAUAUCAUUAUCAAUAAUUUUACCUAUCUUCCUUAUGCAUUUUUCUCAAUCUUUCAUCAUCUAAAUCAUGCUUCUCCAACAUAUCAAUUCAUUAUCUAUACUUCA
rnacentral:lncRNA from 1 species